GUUGACCAAACCCAUUAUACAAGUAGUGCAAAACAACAUCUGGACUUCCAUCUGUUGCAGUGGUUCCCAGCCUUGGGUGACCCAAGUGUUCUUCAACUGCAACUCCCAGAAACCCCAGCUAGUAGUGAAGACUUCCAGGCAUAGCAGUCCCAGAACAUCUGGGGUCACCCAAGGUUGGGAAUCUAAUAUAUUGGAUUAGAGGACGAGAACAGUAAGAAAGUGGUGGAAAAGAAGAGAGAUAUGUCAGCUUUGUUGAUCCGUCAUGUAGUCCUUUCACCCAGGAGGCAACGGCGCUUUUAUUCAAGUGCACUUUUAAGCAAUUAAGGUGGAUUGCUAAGAGAGAAGUUUUUCAUAGGGUGACCGAUUCCUUUUUCUUCCAUUGAUGUACUUUUAAUAUUUUAACUUGCCUUUAUUUGAUUGAAUCAUUAACUUUGGAAGCCAGUACUUUGGUAGAAAGGUGGGAUAUAAAUAGGUAAAGGUAAAGGUUCCCCUUGACAUUUUCAGUCCAGUCGUGUCCAACUUUAGAGGGCGAUGCUCAUCCCACUUUUCAAGCCGUAGAGCCAGCGCCUGUCCAAAGACAGUUUUCUGUUGUCACGUGGCCAGCUUGACUAGGGAACGCCGUUUUACCUUCCCACUGAGAAGGUACCUAUUUAUCUACUCGCAUUUACAUGCUUUCGAACUGCUAGGUUGGCGAGGAGCUGGGACAAAGCGACGGGAGCUCACUCCGUUGUGUGGAUUCGAUCUUACGACUGCUGGUCUUCUGACCCUGCAGCACAGGCUUCUGCGGUUUAGCCCACAGCGCCACCACGUCCCUUGGGAAAUAAAUAUAUAGUAGUAAAUAACACCAGACUGGCUACACUCGAAGAACAGGAUAUGCUUGGUUUUUUUGUACGGAAUCUGAUGUUGCAAGGGCAGGACUUUUUUCUUCACUGCUUCAUUAUCUCUGCAGCAUAAAAGAAAAGGGUGAAGAUGCAUGCAAGGAGCUGCUGGAGGCUUACCUCUCCUGUCUACGUGCACUGGGCACAGCCCACCCAGAUCUAGAAGCCAGGUCCACGACGUCAAGUCAUUGAAGAUCCUCUAUGGCCAAGUCUCCGGGUUUCUCACAAUUAUUCCAUGGCACUCAAGGAGCAAAGGUCCAGAGCGGGAUUUGCCCAGGGCUGGAUGCUACGCUCCCUGCAGGCACUGAGGCAAGGGAGUUCCGUGUGCAAUAAAGCCCUUUGCAUUUUACUCA
rnacentral:lncRNA from 1 species